GACGAACGCUGGCGGCGUGCUUAACACAUGCAAGUCGAACGGAAAGGCCCUGCUUUUGUGGGGUGCUCGAGUGGCGAACGGGUGAGUAACACGUGAGUAACCUGCCCUUGACUUUGGGAUAACUUCAGGAAACUGGGGCUAAUACCGGAUAGGAGCUCCUGCUGCAUGGUGGGGGUUGGAAAGUUUCGGCGGUUGGGGAUGGACUCGCGGCUUAUCAGCUUGUUGGUGGGGUAGUGGCUUACCAAGGCUUUGACGGGUAGCCGGCCUGAGAGGGUGACCGGCCACAUUAGGACUGAGAUACGGCCCAGACUCCUACGGGAGGCAGCAGUGGGGAAUAUUGGACAAUGGGCGCAAGCCUGAUCCAGCCAUACCGCGUGGGUGAAGAAGGCCUUCGGGUUGUAAAGCCCUUUUGUUGGGAAAGAAAAGCAGCAGGUUAAUACCCCGCUGUUCUGACGGUACCCAAAGAAUAAGCACCGGCUAACUUCGUG
rnacentral:rRNA from 1 species